rnacentral:lncRNA from 1 species
CAGAGCCUGUUAAGUUUCACGUGGAAUGCUCAGUUUGAAAAACUAUAUAUAAAUAUAUUGCCAGUAAUGCUGACAGCGUUUACACUGUGAGGUAGAACCAGUUGGGCUGGAAACCAAAUUUGCUGAAGAGACUAGCUCUAGAGCAUGCAAGCUGUCGUGCAUAGGAAAGAUGGGAAAAGAAACUUGGAUUUAUCCUCUGUUGUAGAGCACUGAAGGAUACGCUUACCUGCAGUGUGUUUAAGACCUUGAACUCUGUGCCUGGCCUUGCAGCUUUAGCUAUCCGAUCCACCUCACAAUGACCAGCACUGAGGGCAUGACAUGGCACGCGAUCCUUCCUGCAGGAGCCUCGAUGGUGCUUGUGACAAGGUCAGGAUUGGUAAGGGAAAGACCUGGGUUCUUGUACCUACUCAUGAGACUCUUUCUGCAUUUCAUCCAGUGAGCGAAGUGGAGGUUUUCCCACCCUCAGAUCCUCUCUGGGAUUUUAGGAAUGUUGAGACGUGCUGGUUAUAAAGCCCUAAGUACAAAAUGGUCACGGAUGGCUGGAAUGAGGCAUGUUCUAAUGGAAACAAAUCACUUGUCAGGAUCACUCUUACUGGCUUGGCCGGGGAAGGAAGAUGGCAGCUCUGGUGCGAUGCAGUCGUUUGAAUGGGCGAGAAAUAGAGCAACAAACUUCACAGAGAUCAAGAGUAUAAAGGCGCAUCUAGAUCAUCAGAAGACUUCAUACUGGUUUUAUUGUCUGAAAAGAAAUGUGGUCAGAAGAAGUCACGUGACGACCAAUAUGCAGGAGGGGCUGUGAAGAGCGGAAACAAGUCGGCUGGUGGCAUCACAGAGCUGCUUUGAAGUGGUUUCCAGUUAUGGGGCAAAAAGGAGGUGAAAUCCUGGCCUUCUUGAAAUCCAUGGGCGUGUGGCUGUUCACUCCAGCGGAGCCAUGCCUUCUUCCUGGGUCUAUUGGCUUUGCCUAAAACCAGUUAUGCUCCCUCCCUUUUUUUUUUUUUUUAAUUACAAAAUUAAUUAAAAAAUUUAAUU